rnacentral:rRNA from 1 species
GAUGAACGCUGGCGGCGUGCCUAAUACAUGCAAGUCGAGCGAACAGACGAGGAGCUUGCUCCUCUGACGUUAGCGGCGGACGGGUGAGUAACACGUGGAUAACCUACCUAUAAGACUGGGAUAACUUCGGGAAACCGGAGCUAAUACCGGAUAAUAUAUUGAACCGCAUGGUUCAAUAGUGAAAGACGGUUUUGCUGUCACUUAUAGAUGGAUCCGCGCCGCAUUAGCUAGUUGGUAAGGUAACGGCUUACCAAGGCAACGAUGCGUAGCCGACCUGAGAGGGUGAUCGGCCACACUGGAACUGAGACACGGUCCAGACUCCUACGGGAGGCAGCAGUAGGGAAUCUUCCGCAAUGGGCGAAAGCCUGACGGAGCAACACCGCGUGAGUGAUGAAGGUCUUCGGAUCGUAGAACUCUGUUAUUAGGGAAGAACAAAUGUGUAAGUAACUAUGCACGUCUUGACGGUACCUAAUCAGAAAGCCACGGCUAACUACGUG